rnacentral:rRNA from 1 species
AUUGAACGCUGGCGGCAGGCCUAACACAUGCAAGUCGAACGAGUGGCGGACGGGUGAGUAAUGUCUGGGAAACUGCCCGAUGGAGGGGGAUAACUACUGGAAACGGUAGCUAAUACCGCAUACCAUCGGAUGAGCCCAGAUGGGAUUAGCUAGUAGGUGGGGUAAUGGCUCACCUAUGCGAAGAUCCCUAGCUGGUCUGAGAGGAUGACCAGCCACACUGAAACUUAUACACGGUCCAUACUCCUCCGGAAGGCAUCAGUGGGGAAUAUUGCACAAUGGGCGCAAGCCUGAUGCAGCCAUGCCGCGUGUAUGAAGAAGGCCUUCGGGUUGUAAAGUACUUUCAGCGAGGAGGCGUUACUCGCAGAAGAAGCACCGGCUAACUCCGUGCCAGCAGCCGCGGUAAUAC